rnacentral:rRNA from 1 species
CCUACGGGAGGCAGCAGUGAGGAAUAUUGGUCAAUGGACGAGAGUCUGAACCAGCCAAGUAGCGUGAAGGAUGACUGCCCUAUGGGUUGUAAACUUCUUUUAUAUGGGAAUAAAAUGUUCCACGUGUGGGAUUUUGUAUGUACCAUAUGAAUAAGGAUCGGCUAACUCCGUGCCAGCAGCCGCGGUAAUACGGAGGAUCCGAGCGUUAUCCGGAUUUAUUGGGUUUAAAGGGAGCGUAGGUGGAUUGUUAAGUCAGUUGUGAAAGUUUGCGGCUCAACCGUAAAAUUGCAGUUGAAACUGGCAGUCUUGAGUACAGUAGAGGUAGGCGGAAUUCGUGGUGUAGCGGUGAAAUGCUUAGAUAUCACGAAGAACUCCGAUGGCGAAGGCAGCUCACUGGACUGCAACUGACACUGAGGCUCGAAAGUGUGGGGAUCAAACAGGAUUAGAUACCCUGGUAGUC